rnacentral:rRNA from 1 species
UACGGGGGGGGUAAGCGUUGUUCGGAAUUACUGGGCGUAAAGGGCUCGUAGGCGGCCAACUAAGUCAUACGUGAAAUCCCUCAGCUUAACUGGGGAACUGCGUGUGAUACUGGAUGGCUUGGAUUUGGGAGAGGGAUGCGGAAUUCCAGGUGUAGCGGUGAAAUGCGUAGAUAUCUGGAGGAAUACCGGUGGCGAAGGCGGCAUCCUGGACCGAGAUUGACGCUGAACGGCGAAAGCUAGGGGAGCAAACGGG